rnacentral:rRNA from 1 species
GAAAGAUGGCUUUGGCUAUCACUCUGGGAUGGACCUGCGGUGCAUUAGCUAGUUGGUAAGGUAACGGCUUACCAAGGCGAUGAUGCAUAGCCGAGUUGAGAGACUGAUCGGCCACAAUGGAACUGAGACACGGUCCAUACUCCUACGGGAGGCAGCAGUAGGGCAUCUUCCACAAUGGGCGCAAGCCUGAUGGAGCAACACCGCGUGAGUGAAGAAGGGUUUCGGCUCGUAAAGCUCUGUUGUUGGAGAAGAACGUGCGUGAGAGUAACUGUUCACGCAGUGACGGUAUCCAACCAGAAAGUCACGGCUAACUACGUGCCAGCAGCCGCGGUAAUACGUAGGUGGCAAGCGUUAUCCGGAUUUAUUGGGCGUAAAGCGAGCGCAGGCGGUUGCUUAGGUCUGAUGUGAAAGCCUUCGGCUUAACCGAAGAAGUGCAUCGGAAACCGGGCGACUUGAGUGCAGAAGAGGACAGUGGAACUCCAUGUGUAGCGGUGGAGUGCGUAGAUAUAUGGAAGAACACCAGUGGCGAAGGCGGCUGUCUGGUCUGCAACUGACGCUGAGGCUCGAAAGCAUGGGUAGCGAACAGGAUUAGAUACCCUGGUAGUCCAUGCCGUAAACGAUGAGUGCUAGGUGUUGGAGGGUUUCCGCCCUUCA